ACUCCUACGGGAGGCAGCAGUGGGCAAUUUUCCGCAAUGAGCGAAAGCCUGACGGAGCAACGCCGCGUGAGGGAUGAAGGCCUCUGGGCUGUAAACCUCUUUUAUCAAGGAAGAAGAUCUGACGGUACUUGAUGAAUAAGCCACGGGUAAUUCCGUGCCAGCAGCCGCGGUAAUAA
rnacentral:rRNA from 1 species